AUUGAACGCUGGCGGCAUGCUUUACACAUGCUAGUCGAACGGCAGCGCGGGCUUCGGCCUGGCGGCGAGUGGCGAACGGGUGGGUAAUGCAUCUGAACGUUCCCAGUAGUGGGGGAUAGCCCGGUGAAAGCCGGAUUAAUACCGCAUACGACCUGAGGGUGAAAGCGGGGGACCGAAAGGUCGCGAGCUAUUUGAUCGGUAGAUGUUGGAUUACCUAGUUGGUUGGGUAAAGGCUCACCAAGGCUACGAUCCGUAGCUGGUCUGAUAGGCCGACUAGUGACGGUGGUACUAACGCAAGGCCCAGAGUGAUUCGUGAGGCAGCAGUCGGGACUUUUGGACAUUGGGGGCAACUCUGAUCCAUGCAUGCGGCGUGCGUUACGACGGCCUUCGGGUUCUAAUCCGCUUUUGUUCGGGAGGAAAUCCUCUGGGCUAAUACCCCGGGGGCAUGACGGUACCGGGAGAAUAGGCACGGGCUAACUACGUG
rnacentral:rRNA from 1 species